AGACCCGAAACCCGGUGAUCUAGCCAUGGGCAGGUUGAAGGUUGGGUAACACUAACUGGAGGACCGAACCGACUAAUGUUGAAAAAUUAGCGGAUGACCUGUGGCUGGGGGUGAAAGGCCAAUCAAACCGGGAGAUAGCUGGUUCUCCCCGAAAGCUAUUUAGGUAGCGCCUCGUGAAUUCAUCUCCGGGGGUAGAGCACUGUUUCGGCUAGGGGGCCAUCCCGGCUUACCAACCCGAUGCAAACUGCGAAUACCGGAGAAUGUUAUCACGGGAGACACACGGCGGGUGCUAACGUCCGUCGUGAAGAGGGAAACAACCCAGACCGCCAGCUAAGGUCCCAAAGUCAUGGUUAAGUGGGAAACGAUGUGGGAAGGCCCAGACAGCCAGGAUGUUGGCUUAGAAGCAGCCAUCAUUUAAAGAAAGCGUAAUAGCUCACUGGUCGAGUCGGCCUGCGCGGAAGAUGUAACGGGGCUAAACCAUGCACCGAAGCUGCGGCAGCGACACUCAGGUGUUGUUGGGUAGGGGAGCGUUCUGUAAGUCUGCGAAGGUGGCCUGUGAGGGUUGCUGGAGGUAUCAGAAGUGCGAAUGCUGACAUAAGUAACGAUAAAGCGGGUGAAAAGCCCGCUCGCCGGAAGACCAAGG
rnacentral:rRNA from 1 species